AGAACGAACGCUGGCGGCAUGCCUAACACAUGCAAGUCGAACGCUCUUGGUUUCGGCCAAGGGAGUGGCGCACGGGUGAGUAACGCGUGGGAACCUGCCCUGGAGUGGGGGAUAACCGAGGGAAACCUCGGCUAAUACCGCAUACGUCCUGAGGGAGAAAGAUUUAUCGCUCUAGGAGGGGCCCGCGUCGGAUUAGCUAGUUGGUGGGGUAACGGCCCACCAAGGCUAUGAUCCGUAGCUGGUCUGAGAGGAUGAUCAGCCACACUGGGACUGAGACACGGCCCAGACUCCUACGGGAGGCAGCAGUGGGGAAUAUUGGACAAUGGGCGCAAGCCUGAUCCAGCAAUGCCGCGUGAGUGAUGAAGGCCUUAGGGUUGUAAACCUCUUUCACCAUCGACGAAGCCUUCGGGUGACGGUAGGUGGAGAAGAAGCACCGGCCAACUACGCGCCAGCAGCCGC
rnacentral:rRNA from 1 species